rnacentral:rRNA from 1 species
AACGAACGCUGGCGGCAGGCUUAACACAUGCAAGUCGAACGCAUCCUUCGGGGUGAGUGGCAGACGGGUGAGUAACGCGUGGGAACGUGCCCUUCAGUUCGGGAUAACCCAGGGAAACUUGGGCUAAUACCGGAUACGUGCGAGAGCGGAAAGAUUUAUCGCUGAAGGAUCGGCCCGCGUUUGAUUAGCUAGUUGGUGGGGUAAUGGCCCACCAAGGCGACGAUCAGUAGCUGGUCUGAGAGGAUGAUCAGCCACAUUGGGACUGAGACACGGCCCAAGCUCCAACGGGAGGCAGCAGUGGGGAAUAUUGGACAAUGGGCGCAAGCCUGAUCCAGCCAUGCCGCGUGAGUGAUGAAGGCCUUAGGGUUGUAAAGCUCUUUCGUCCGGGACGAUAAUGACGGUACCGGAAGAAGAAGCCCCGGCUAACUUCGUGCCAGCCGCCGCGGUAA